rnacentral:pre_miRNA from 14 species
ACAUCGGAGACCAGGUUGGCGACGCGUAUUCUUGGGGAAUUAACACACAUACGCGCUGUUAUUGCUUGAGAAUACACGUAGUUUGCCUGGUCGAUCUCUAC